AACGAGCGCUGGCGGCAGGCUUAACACAUGCAAGUCGAGCGCCCCGCAAGGGGAGCGGCAGACGGGUGAGUAACGCGUGGGAAUCUACCCAUCUCUACGGAAUAACGCAUGGAAACGUGUGCUAAUACCGUAUACGUCCUUCGGGAGAAAGAUUUAUCGGAGAUGGAUGAGCCCGCGUUGGAUUAGCUAGUUGGUGGGGUAAAGGCCUACCAAGGCGACGAUCCAUAGCUGGUCUGAGAGGAUGAUCAGCCACACUGGGACUGAGACACGGCCCAGACUCCUAGGGGAGGCAGCAGUGGGGAAUAUUGGACAAUGGGCGCAAGCCUGAUCCAGCCAUGCCGCGUGAGUGAUGAAGGCCAUAGGGUUGUAAAGCUCUUUCACCGGUGAAGAUAAUGACGGUAACCGGAGAAGAAGCCCCGGCUAACUUCGUGCCAGCCGCCGCGGUAAAAC
rnacentral:rRNA from 1 species